UACGUAGGGGGCUAGCGUUGUCCGGAUUUAUUGGGCGUAAAGAGCGUGUAGGCGGUCCGGUAAGUCCGCUGUGAAAGUCGGGGGCUCAACCCUCGAAUGCCGGUGGAUACUGUCGGGCUAGAGUGCGGAAGAGGCGAGUGGAAUUCCUGGUGUAGCGGUGAAAUGCGCAGAUAUCAGGAGGAACACCUAUGGCGAAGGCAGGUCUCUGGGCAUUAACUGACGCUGAGGAGCGAAAGCAUGGGGAGCGAACAGG
rnacentral:rRNA from 1 species